rnacentral:rRNA from 1 species
CCAUAGAGGCGGUCUAUAAUGCAGUCGAGCGGACAGAUGGGAGCUUGCUCCCUGAUGUUAGCGGCGGACGGGUGAGUAACACGUGGGUAACCUGCCUGUAAGACUGGGAUAACUCCGGGAAACCGGGGCUAAUACCGGAUGGUUGUUUGAACCGCAUGGUUCAGACAUAAAAGGUGGCUUCGGCUACCACUUACAGAUGGACCCGCGGCGCAUUAGCUAGUUGGUGAGGUAACGGCUCACCAAGGCGACGAUGCGUAGCCGACCUGAGAGGGUGAUCGGCCACACUGGGACUGAGACACGGCCCAGACUCCUACGGGAGGCAGCAGUAGGGAAUCUUCCGCAAUGGACGAAAGUCUGACGGAGCAACGCCGCGUGAGUGAUGAAGGUUUUCGGAUCGUAAAGCUCUGUUGUUAGGGAAGAACAAGUGCCGUUCAAAUAGGGCGGCACCUUGACGGUACCUAACCAGAAAGCCACGGCUAACUACGUGCCAGCAGCCGCGGUAAUACGUAGGUGGCAAGCGUUGUCCGGAAUUAUUGGGCGUAAAGGGCUCGCAGGCGGUUUCUUAAGUCUGAUGUGAAAGCCCCCGGCUCAACCGGGGAGGGUCAUUGGAAACUGGGGAACUUGAGUGCAGAAGAGGAGAGUGGAAUUCCACGUGUAGCGGUGAAAUGCGUAGAGAUGUGGAGGAACACCAGUGGCGAAGGCGACUCUCUGGUCUGUAACUGACGCUGAGGAGCGAAAGCGUGGGGAGCGAACAGGAUUAGAUACCCUGGUAGUCCACGCCGUAAACGAUGAGUGCUAAGUGUUAGGGGGUUUCCGCCCCUUAGUGCUGCAGCUAACGCAUUAAGCACUCCGCCUGGGGAGUACGGUCGCAAGACUGAAACUCAAAGGAAUUGACGGGGGCCCGCACAAGCGGUGGAGCAUGUGGUUUAAUUCGAAGCAACGCGAAGAACCUUACCGGUCUUGACAUCCUCUGACAAUCCUAGAGAUAGGACGUCCCCUUCAGGGGCAGAGUGACAGGGGGUGCAUGGGUUGUCGUCAGCUCGUGUCGUGAGAUGUUGGGGUUAAGUCCCGCAACGAGGCGCAACCCUUGAUUCUUAAGUUUGGCC